UACGUAGGUGGCAAGCGUUGUUCGGAAUUACUGGGCGUAAAGGGCGCGUAGGCGGUACUUCAAGUCAGGCGUGAAAGCCCCGGGCUCAACCUGGGAACCGCGCUUGAGACUGGAGAACUAGAGUUCGGGAGAGGAUGGUGGAAUUCCCAGUGUAGAGGUGAAAUUCGUAGAUAUUGGGAAGAACACCGAUGGCGAAGGCAGCCAUCUGGACCGACACUGACGCUGAGGCGCGAAAGCGUGGGGAGCAAACAGG
rnacentral:rRNA from 1 species